CCCACCCACAUAAUCCCCAAUGACGAGUGGCCCGGCCUCCCUCUCCUCUCUCUUUGGUUAUUAACUUUCAGGCUGGCUCAUAAAUGUUGAAUUGAUUGAGGCAUAUUGCCGACAUAUCGCGAUGUUGUCCCGAUUAUAUAACUUCCUCAAACCAGACAGGCAAGACUGAGACCCGCAGACAGCCAGACACAGACAGCUACGUCCCUGCCUCCACACCCGAAACUCCACUGCUGGGGGAAAAAGUGUUACAGACACGCUACCGUCUAACGAUACCCCCGAUACGACACACCACAGCAGACACCAGCUACAGCCAUAGAGCCACCAGCAACACCAGCUCCCGCUUCGACUUAAACUCCAACUCAGACACCCACUGCCUUACAUUCAUAAUCUAUUUUGCCACCACGCGUUGCACACAAAAUAAACUUUGCUCAAGCUCCACAGAGAAAGAGAGAGAGAGAGGGAGACAGCAUCCGGAAUAGUUAUGCCAAAAAAGAGCAAGAAAGAAACACGAGAUGUGUGAAAGAGAUGGAGACAGCGAUCGUUGGAUACUCUUGUGG
rnacentral:lncRNA from 1 species